UCUCCUCUGGUGUAAUGGUAGCACAGGUGGCUCUAACCCACUUGGUCAGGGUUCGAAUCCUUGGGGGAGGA
rnacentral:tRNA from 1 species